UGGGCUAUAGUGUAAUGGUAACACAACAGAUUUUGGUUCUGUAUUUCUGCGUUCGAAUCGCAGUAGCCCAA
rnacentral:tRNA from 1 species